rnacentral:rRNA from 1 species
UACGUAGGGACCGAGCGUUGUCCGGAAUCAUUGGGCGUAAAGAGCGUGUAGGCGGCCACUUAAGUCUUGCGUGAAAUCUUGCGGCUCAACCGCAAGCGGUCGUGGGAAACUGGGUGGCUAGAGUGCGGGAGAGGAGAGUGGAAUUCCUGGUGUAGCGGUGGAAUGCGCAGAUAUCAGGAGGAACACCGGUGGCGAAGGCGGGUCUCUGGGCCAAAACUGACGCUGAGGAGCGAAAGCGUGGGGAGCGAACAGG